rnacentral:rRNA from 1 species
UACGGGGGGAGCAAGCGUUGUUCGGAUUUACUGGGCGUAAAGGGCGCGUAGGCGGUCAGCACAAGUCAGUUGUGAAAUCUCCGGGCGUUAACCCGGAAAGGUCAACUGAUACUGUGCGACUAGAGUGCGGAAGGGGCAACUGGAAUUCUCGGUGUAGCGGUGAAAUGCGUAGAUAUCGAGAGGAACACCUGCGGCGAAGGCGG